CCCUCGGGAUGUAAACUUCGAAAGAAAGAAAAGAAUCAAUGACGGUACCAUUUAUAAGCCCCGGCUAACUCUGUUUUAGCAGCCGCGGUAAUACAGAGGGGGCAAGCGUUGUUCGGAUUUACUGGGCGUAAAGGGCGCGUAGGCGGCUUUGUAAGUUACUUGUGAAAUCUCUGAGCUUAACUCAGAACGGUCAAGUAAUACUGCAGAGCUUGAGUGCAGAAGGGGCAACUGGAAUUCUUGGUGUAGCGGUGAAAUGCGUAGAUAUCAAGAGGAACACCAGAGGCGAAGGCGGGUUGCUGGGCUGACACUGACGCUGAGGCGCGAAAGCUAAGGGAGCAAACAGGAUUAGAUACCCUGGUAGUCCUAGCCUUAAACGAUGGAUGCUUGGUGUCUGGAGUUACAGUCUCUCGGUGCCGUCGCUAACGCUUUUAGCAUCCCGCCUGGGGAGUACGCACGCAAGUCUCCCACUCAAAGGAAUUGACGGGGACCCGCACAAAAAAAAGAGCAUGUGGUUUAAUUUGACGCAACGCGAAGAACCUUACCUGGAUUAGAAUGCGAUGGAAUCUUUGUUAAUACCAAGAGUCGGAGCAAUCCGACCCGAAGCAAG
rnacentral:rRNA from 1 species